rnacentral:lncRNA from 1 species
GCUGGUUUCGCGCACUCCACCCUGCCCAGAGCAAGAGCGAACAGCACCAACCACAGGAGGAUCGGCCGGGAAUGAUUCACGGCAGAAUUCCCGCAAUAUUGAGAAUAUUCAGGAAUUAUCCGUUGGUUGGGAUAUUUAGGCUGUUCCAAAAAACAACCCCAAACCAAGAAUUAAUUUUAAAAAAACCCCAAAAUUACAUCCAUGCCCCAUCCCUGGAAGUUCCCAAGGCCAGGUUGGAGCAACCCGGGAGGGCAAAAAUUUGUCCCUGCCCAUGGAUCAGGACGAAGUCUCGACUCCCUUCCGCCCCGAACCAUUCCAGGAUCAUUUUCCGGGAAUAAAAAGCCCCUCCUCGGUUCCUUUUUUUGCCCCUUUGGCCUCGCCCAGAGCUCCUGUGCAGGUGCGGGAAGCACAAAGAACCCGCGGGGUUACGUAAGAGGAAUUUUGGGAAUUCGCUGCCUCCGUCAGCCACAGGUCAGCCCUGGGACAGAAGUUUUUUAGGGAAGUUGGUCCAGGGGAGAUCCAGAGGGGACCUGCAGCUGCUCAGCUCUGGGAUCUCCAUCCUCAGAGCCGGGUUGGGAAGAGCGCAGAGGGGGAAAUUCACUUUUCCGGCGGCUGCUGAAGGCGUUGGGGGGUGGGGGAAUUACCAGCCGAGGCCCAGCGGGGAACACAUCCCCCCCAAAAAUCCCAUAAAUCCCAUAAAACCUCCUGCUCGGGGCUGUCCGGCACCCCCUGAGUGCGGGGAGCAGCUCCAGAGCCUCGCCAGACGGAACUCCCUGCACAACUUGAGCUCCCACACCCGGGAAAAAUCGGGAUUUUGGAGGGGAGAUCCACUCAGUUCUGCCCAAACCACGACCGGGGGGAGGGUGGGGGAGAGUCACGAAAUCAGCACCAGGCCUCGGCCAAAAAAAAACCUCGUCCAAAAAAAAAAUAAUCCUCCCCCAAAACGCUCCUGCCGCACGCGCUGCCUGCCAUUCCCAGGAAAAUCGUCCCCCAAAAGCCCCCAAAUCCCCCAAAAUCGCGG